UACGUAGGGUGCGAGCGUUGUCCGGAAUUAUUGGGCGUAAAGGGCUCGUAGGCGGUCUGUCACGUCGGGAGUGAAAACGCGAGGCUCAACCUCGCGCCUGCAGUGGGUACGGGCAGACUGGAGUGCGGUAGGGGAGAUUGGAAUUCCUGGUGUAGCGGUGGAAUGCGCAGAUAUCAGGAGGAACACCGAUGGCGAAGGCAGAUCUCUGGGCCGUAACUGACGCCGAGGAGCGAAAGCGUGGGGAGCGAACAGG
rnacentral:rRNA from 1 species